rnacentral:rRNA from 1 species
CCUACGGGUGGCUGCAGUGGGGAAUAUUGGACAAUGGGCGCAAGCCUGAUCCAGCUAUUCCGCGUGAGGGAUGAAGGCCCUCGGGUUGUAAACCACUUUUGUAGAGAACGAAAAGACACCUUCGAAUAAAGGGUGUUGCUGACGGUACUCUAAGAAUAAGCACCGGCUAACUACGUGCCAGCCGCCGCGGUAAUACGUAGGGUGCGAGCGUUAAUCGGAUUUACUGGGCGUAAAGGGUGCGCAGGCGGUUGAGUAAGACAGAUGUGAAGUCCCCGGGCUUAACCCGGGAAUGGCAUAUGUGACUGCUCGACUAGAGUGUGUCAGAGGUAGGUGGAAUUCCACGUGUAGCGGUGAAAUGCGUAGAUAUGUGGAAGAACACCGAUGGCGAAGGCAGCCUCCUG